CGUGCUGCUGCGAUGGCCGCCUUGAUGGCAAAGAAAAUGGUGGAGCCGAAGAAAACCGGAGGCUCGCCAAUACCCUGGAACAACAGGACAGUCAACAGUGCGUCCUCAGGUACCUUGGACAGGUAGAUGGCGUGGGGGUUUUCAGCAUUAGCGAGCAGGUGAACAUUGAGCUCAGCUGGGACGUCGCAGAGUGCCGGGACCUUAUACUGAGACGGCCCUCUUGUCAUCAGGACUCCGUCUGGGGAGAACUGCAGCUCCUCGAUGGUGUACAGGCCGACGCCCUGGACGAAACCUCCCUCCACCUGAUAAACAUCACACACACAUAUAUUUAAUCAGUAAACAUGUUGAUGGAGUUCUGUUUGAUCUAGGGUUGAAGCUUUGGGUUACCUCAAACUCAUUAAGUCUCCCCCUGCAAAAUAGUCCCUAUCAAAAGAACUAAAAGGUGGUGUUGCACAUGUACCUGUCCAAUGUCCAAAGCAGGAUUGAUGCUUUUCCCGACAUCCAUCACAAUGUCUGUCCUGAUGUUCUGCAACAAACAAAACACACAGUUACAAGAUGUCUUAUCCUAGUUAUUAUCCCAUAAUAUCCUAGUUAUCCUUUGGAAGAGGCAGCUUUAAAGGACAUGGAGAUGAACUACAGCGGCAGUACACUCACUGACUUUGGAUGUUAUAUGUUUUUUAGGGAUUUUAAAGAGUGAAAAAAAAACCUUGUGAUCCCCAGUGAGACAAUCGAUCUCCACUUCAGAGCAGCAAGCACCGAAGGUGAAGUAGUAGUACGCUUGACCUUCACCUUUCUCCCAGUCAACAUCGGUGUUUUGGGGAUUCUUCUCCAUCAGUGGUUGCAGGCGCCUCAUCAGCUUCUCACAAGCAUCCUGCGCGAGACAAUACAGACCUUGACUGCCAUGCCCACGGCGUCCGUGCCAAAGGAGGCAGCUGAUGGUGCUGCGUUGGGGACGUUUCCUGUACAGGUCUCCUUGGUGAAGAUGGAAGACACGGGGACCUUGAGGACACGGCUAGCUAUCUGGAACAUGAGCACGGAGCCAUCUUUGUAGAUGUUCACCAACGCUGCACCCUGGACGAGACAAAUGACCAGCAUGUUCCUUAGAUUAAGGUGAAUUAAAAAGACAUCUGGACAGAGGGCUCGUCUUCUUCUACCUCUGAGUUUAAAGGGCUAUCCAGGUAUAAAGAAAAGAGUCCCCACCUGAUUACAGAAACCUUUGGAGAAGCCGACGCCAAACUUCUGUGGCACUGCGCUGAUGCCUCUCUUCUUCCAGCGGUUGGAGGAGUUGAACAGCUGGACGGCUCGAAGUCUGUCCUGGUAGUUAGCCCUUUCCAGACACUCAUCCCAGCAGCGCACCAUGUCGGUGGGGUUGAAGGGCUGCUUGUGGUGGGUGUAGCUCUGCUCCUCCCUGUACAUAUUGAUGUCUCUAACCUGGGGACGAAGCAGCACGGCAACAAGUUUGAGGAAACUAACAUGGAAGCUCUCUAAAACCACAUAAACAGACAUCGGAUAUUUCUCUCCUCAAGACCCCUUUAGAAAACAGAAACCCUGCGCCUCCUCCUGGUGACCUCAGACCUUUUCAGCUGGUAGGCCACAGCGAACAGCGACUUCAUGCAGGACACUCUCCAUCACCAUCAGACCCUGGGGCCCGCCAAAGCCGCGGAAGGCCGUGUAGGAGGGCAGUGAUAGCAGAGAGAGAAGCGAUCUUCAUGACUUUGCCUCCGAACCCUCCGCCCAGCCUCUUCACAUGGCAGGUGAUCUUGUUGGAGUCGACGCCCAGAGCCAUGCCGACCAGCUCCUGGUACCCGGAGACAAAACCAGUCGGUAAAACACUUCAACCAAAGUCAAACUGAAGAUCCUUCCUUUGCUACAAACAGUUCCUCUGGGUUAUUGAACCAGAGUCUGCAGUUCGCCCCAGGAACAUCUCCAGCAGAGACAAACGUGACCAUCCCAGGCAUCUUCAGGGCCUCUGACGGGUCGAUGUUGCUGGUUAAUGAAAAGAGAAACUGAGCAUGGGCUCUGGUGCUCGUCACCAUGAAGAUGAAGAGCUCUCCCUGGACCAGCGGCAGGUCGUCGUAGUACUUUGCUUCACCUGUGGCUUGCUGGAAAGCAGACUGAUGCAUGCUGGGACGACCCACCAGGUCAGCAGAGGGCUGGGCCUCUGAUACGAGCUGUGGACGAAGUGUGUGCCGACCUGGAAGGACUGUUGACCCUGUGGCACUUCGUUCUUGAAGGGCUUGAGUGCGCUGAGAUACUCCAGAGGAAAAUCAGCGUCUGAAACCCCCUACAAGGACGACUUGCAUGUAGAACUUGAAGAAGAAGCUGAUGGCGAGGGUCUUGCGGAACUCUGCCCUGCCUCCGUGGAUUGACGGAGAAACGUCCACGUCUUCCUUCAGGAGGCGGCAGCCUUCAGAGAGAAGAUCCUCCCCCCACGAUCUGGAGAACGUCACAGUUACAGUCUGUUACAGCCCUGAACAAUCAUAUUUACUGAAGGUAAUGAGUCUUUGGUGCUGUACCGGCUGACGAGCUGCUGGCACGUCAGUUUGGGUUUGACCAGAGUCGGUCCAACUCCACCGUAGUAGAUACUGAGGGACUCCACGACGUCGGUUCCCUCCUUAAUGGCCACUUUCAUCCCAGCGUUAAGAAAGGAGAAGGCGAACUCUCGCCUCUGGGCCUGUCGAUAGGCCGCCACAAACUCCCACUGAGGACCAAACAAAGCCACAUACACGUCAGGGAAUUAGGCUCAGGUGUUUAUGGUAGGGAUGUACCGAAUUGACCUCAUUACAAAUUCAGUCUUUUAAUUUCUUGUCAGUUAUUGUCGUUUGUACUGUUCUUGUUGUAUUUGGCUCCGAAUAUGAGCAUCAGUGUUUGAGAAUGUCUCACAGGUUUGGUGUAGGGGAUGUCGAUGGACAGCAGGACUUCUUCGGGCCUGAGGACUGUUUUUCCAAAGUCAGCGAAGAGUUUUUCAUCCAAGGCAGGGUGGCCUUGCUUGUCAAAUAAUGAACCUACCGCCAUGUUGCGAAUCUGUUUCCCUGCCAGACACCGAAGAGUCUGCAGCAGCGCCCGGUAUCCUCUGGUUUUCUCCUCCUCCGUCUCCACCACGACCUUCUCCACCUCCUUCUGCAGCGUGCUGAGGCUGCAGGCGGCUCCGACUGUCAGACCUGGACGACAGAGCUUCCCUGAUGUCCUCCAUGGUGGGCUGGGGCUUGUUCCUCAGCAGAGUGUACAUGGACAUCACCAUCCCUGGAGUGCAGAAGCCACACUGGGAGCCGUGAGCCUUCGCUAUCCGCUCCUGAAAGACACAGCGGCUGAUAGAUGACACCCAUUCUGGACAGUCGAGUACCAGGGAGUGACGGAUGGGCCCGCUGGAGCUCGCUGGAGGCUGGAUGAAGGAUUUGGGAGAGGCUCUGGGGGGCAGGGCUGGAGAAGAUCAGCUCACUUGGUGAAGACAUGCUGAGGAGAGUAAAUCGUCCGAAGCUGCAGGUCAGAAUGAAACUUCAGCUUUAGGUUCGGCAGUUCUUAAAGUACUGAUCACAUGACUUCUUGUCACAUUUUACUUAAGCUGACAAAUCAAUCAGUUCCAGGCCUCAUUAAUAAGGCCCGGACCCCCCACUGUCACUCACUCUUAUGUGCAUUACAUUAAUGCACUCCUGUCUUCUGUACAGUUUUCCUAUCUUUUCUUAUCUUUCUUAUCUUUAUUUAUCUAUAUAUUUUUUUAAAGUACUUUAUUCUUGUGUGAUUUUUGUGUGAUUUAUAUAUUUAUUUGUUUUAUUUUUUGUGUGAUUGUAUGUUUUAAGCAACGUGAUUCAGGAUUCAAGAUUCAAGAAGCUUUAUUUAACCCGAGGGAAAUUGCUGUUUCAAUACAAAGGUGGUAAAGUACUACAGGGUUAAAGUAAAAUUAAAAUAAAAUAAAAUAAAUAAAACAAAAAUUAAAUCUGAUUAAAUUAAAUUAAAUUAAAUUAAAUUAAAUGCUAACAUAAAAUAAAUCAAACAAUUAACUAAAUGCAACAAAAUGCAAGCACUUACAGGUAACAUAAGUAGAAAAGAAGAAAACAAGUAACUAAAUGUGACAAAGUGCAACAAAAAUUGCAGUUAAACGUAGAUACAGUAUAUACAACAUACAACAUACAACAAAUUGAAAUAAAAUAAGUACAACUAAAUUAAGUGAGCGAUUGUUUAAAGUGAUAACAGUCAUAAAGUGAUAAAAUUGCACCGAGACAAAUUCCUCGUAUGUGUAAAAACCUACCUGGCAAUAAAUCUCAUUCUGAUUCUGAUUCAUUAUAUUUAUCUUUAUUUAUCUAUAUUUAUUCUCUAUACAGUUCUCUACAUUUAUCUUAUUUGAUUUUAUUUUCCGUGAAUUGUACUUUUAUUCUUAUCUCUACUUUCUAUAUUUAGCCAAGAGUUUAUUGUUUACUGUUUAUUGUUUACUUUCUAUAUUUAGCCAA